CGAGCGUACUGGCAGGGGCUGGGCGCGCAGCCUGCCGCGGGGCAGUGGCAGCGUGCUCCGCCACUCCGGAAUAAGGCAGUUCACCAGGGAUGUGGGUUCCCGGGGUACUGUAGGAGACUCUCAGGGACAGUAGAUUCCCAGGGCUAGUGAGUUUCAGGGAUAGUAUGUGCCCAGGGGCGGUGGGUCCCAAAAGGCAGUGAGUUCCCAGGAACAGUGGGGUCUCCGGGUCAUCAAGGGUCUCAGGACCAAGGAGAACUACACACAAGGAGAACGUGGGAAGUCACGGAACAGUGGGUUUCCAGAAAAGUGGGUCUGGGGAUUCUCAGGACCAAGGAGGAAUAGAGAGCAGCUAGAAGGAGAAUGAUCAAAGUACAUUGGACCGGUAAGGACAGCAGCAUCUCCAGGAAGACUGGACACACCAAGAAAGCUUCUCAGCAGAAAUUCCUCUCCCACGGGAAAACGGGUUCCAAAAUAACGAAGUCAGGAGGGCCUUGCGAAGUCAGGAGGGCCUUGCCAGCGCCUCAGCCUAGUCCGGGGAUAUCUGACACUUCGUUGUUCUUUGGUCUCUGUUUUGUUUUGUUGGUGGUGGUUUGUUGGUUUGGUUUGCUUUUCUUUUUCCUUCACUUUUAAAUGUAAUGCUUAUUUAUUUGUUUGCUUGUUUGUUUUAGACCGUGUCUUCUCAGGAACCAACUGGAGAUCCUUCUGCCUCAGCCUCCUAGGUGCUAGGAUCACAGGAGUGUACUACCCAACCUAGCUAAAAACAGCUAUGUGGUUUAAGAGGGAGACGGUUACUGAAGAUCAAACCUAGGGGCUUCAGGAAUGAUAGUCAAGGGCUGUACCCAGGAGCUGCAGCCCAGACUCUAGUUUCCUCACAGGAAAUUUUGGCUCAGUGAUGGAGAAUUUCUGCCUCCUCUUCCUCUUCCUCCUCCUCUCCCUCUUCUUCGUCCUCCUCCCUCCUCCUCCCUCCUCCCUCCUCCCUCCUCCCUCCUCCCUCCUCCCUCCUCCCUCCUCCCUCCUCCCUCCUCCCUCCUCCCUCCUCUUCUUUCUCUUCUUCCUUCUAUGUUUAAAACUAUAAAGUCCCUACUAUACAGUAUUUAACUACAUCCUACAUGCUUAUUGUAUUUUUGGUCCUUUAAAAUAUUUCUAAUUCUCCUGGUAUUUUAUUUGCACCCAUGAUGUAUUCCAAAGGGUGCUGUAAGUUGCAAACAUUUGGAGUCCACGUAGAGAUACUGUGCUAUUGAUUUCUAGCUAACUCUGCUAUGAUUAAAGAAUAGAUCCAGAAUGACUUUUAUUUUUAUUCAUUUGCAUUUACAACUUGCCUUAAUGGCCACCGUGGAGCCCCCCUUGGUAUACGUUCCAUUGAACUUAAAAGGAAGGUGUAUGCUGUUGUUGGGGUUGAUCCUAAGACCUCCUUUAGACCCUCUACCACUGAAAUAUCUUCCCUGGUCCUUAAAAACAACCUCUUUUAAUUUUGAGACAGGGCCCUGCUAAGUUUCUCAGGCUGGUCUUGAACCUGUGAUGUGCCCGCUGAGUCGUUUGGCUUGCACUAUUUGCAAUAUCACACCUUAGAGAGUCUGAUCAAGCUCAGAUGGUACCUCCGUCUUCCAUAUCCUCACCGAAGUUUUGGCCACUGUGGAAAUCUCCAGGGGAAGUUAAUCUCCUACCUCGGCAGCACAAAGUUCUAUUUCGAACUUUCCUUCUGUCCUUUCUCACUGUGCCUUUUGGGAUUCUGUUGGCGUGUAUACAUGUUUUGGGGUCGAUGUCUUCUUGGUAGCUGGCCCCUCGUGUCACCGUGAAGUGCGUCUGUCUGUUAACACGCUUUGUCUUGAGUCUGUUUCAGCUAAGCCGUCAACAAAGCCGCCUGUGCUUGCUUCCUGUGUGAGCAUGUCUUUCAGUUUUGCCUGCAAUGGUUAACAGAGGUCUGUCUCUGCUGUCACUGUUGGCUUCUAAGUGAAGCUUUUAAACCAUCACCAUCUAGUGCCAUUUUUGAUAAGUAUCAGUGUUGACUAUUAAUGGUUUCCCUUUUCUUCUCUACCUAGCCUGUUUGUGUAUGUGGGCAGGUACACACCGCAGUGCACAUACUUCAGAAGAGUGGACAACUUACAGGAGCCAAUCCUUUCCUUCCACCAUGGGGGCUCAGGGGAUCCAACUCAGGCUGUCCGGUUGGCAAAUGAACACCUUUAACCUCUCUUCUGUGUACUUCAUUAAUUCGGUUAACACUCCGCGAUAACAUUUGAACACCAGCGUUUUCUUACAGCCUUGGUCUCAAGUCUCAGGGAGAUCCCACAUCAAUGAGGGUGAGCAAAAUUAAUUAGGCCAUUGAACACCGGAGCCUUCUGCCUCUGCUUCCCAGGUGCUGGGGAAGAGGCCAGCGGUGGAGAACAGUGGGAGGCAAUGAGAUGCAUGCGGGUGUGGGGGACGCACAUGACUUGCUGCCAUCAGAGUUAGGGAACGAAACUGUCAGGUGGAUCAUAACUCUGGGUGUUUAUGUGACUUACACCGGGAAAAGUUCAUCCUGGAGAAAUUACCCAAAGCAUUCCACUUCAUUUACUAAUGUACACCAUUGGUGAGAACUUUUUUUAAAAAUUAUUAUUUUGGGG
rnacentral:lncRNA from 1 species